UUUGAAUCUGAUUCAAGCUCUCUAAGUGGAAGUAUAUGCUUCCUACCUGAGAGAGAAUCGGGUUCAAAUCUUGCGGGGACCUUCUGUAAGUAUUCUUUCGUGUUUUUCAUUCGUCUUAGUCAAACUGCGUUUGACUUUCUGCAUUGACCAGUUUAUGGUCAAUGCGAAGUUCGUUUGAACUUCAUAACGUGAGCGUAAUCACGAUGGUUAUAGUCCCUAGUGACUAUACCUACUGAUUACCACGUUAUCUAGGCUCAGUGACGAGUCGUAGUUUCGGCCAAAAUGCGUUUUCUCGCGUAUUUUGUAACCAAACUACUCUAGGGUAUUAAAACCAUUUGUUUUAAUACCAAACUUGUUUUCUAACUUAACUAAACAUUUUCUAGCAUGUUUAGCUCGUCACUUUUUAGAUUAGUGCUUAUGUAGGGUCGUAAGGUAAGCGAUCUAAACAAUCGCUUAUACUUUCGAACUCGACCCGUUUGGUCGAUCAUUAGGAUCCGACCAAACAUGUUUAGUGACCAUAGUUGUAUAGGGAAUAACCUUCCGAGGUUAUACCUUAUGGUCACUUCGUUUAAGUAGUUGUAUGAUAAGUAGUUUAUAUGCCUUAGGUAAAUUACCAAAAUGCCCUUUUCAUACAUAAUUGGUAAUUAAGCAUAUGUAACCUAAAUUUUUGUCUCAUAACUGAUUAUGUAACAUAUUUAAACAUGUUUUAGCAUAUAAUGCUUGUUAUAGGGCUAGUUAGACGUCUCGAACGCGUUUUACGCAAACGACGCGUUAAAGUAGCGCAAGCUACCUAAACGGGUCGUGAUGGGUCGUAAGCACUUAGGAUAGGUUUCAUUUUAGUAUGUAGGCCUUGUUAAACCAUAUCAUAUGAGUUCCCACACUCAUUCGGUUUACGAGACCUCAUACUAUCCGAUCUCCCGAUUUAGGUCCGGUUUAUUUACGUAGUUAUCUAUACUAGGUGCCGUUUGAUUCCGGGACUCCUCUAGCUUGCUUGGUAGUUGCUCAAGACUUCUAAGCACUCUCAAGUGAGUACAUAGUCCCCUCUUUUACUGUUUUCAACUGUUUUGGGGUGAAGCAUGUGUACCUAUCUGUUAUUUUCAUGAUUUCAAAGUAUAAUUGAUUAUACAUGUUAGUACUUAUCUUUUGGCAAACUAAAUGACUAUCUAUGGUUUAAACACUGAUUUUUCAAAGAUUAUGAAAUUAAUUGUUGGAAUAGUACUUAUUUUUGUUCACCAGACCGGUUGGUAGUAUGAUAUAGCGCUAUAGGAUUUGACGCCCCAUUCCUGUUGUCAUGGAAUGUCUGAAACCAAUUUGUUGCUCCAUCCAAAUAGGGAUUGCCUUUGUGGUAUUUCUAUAGUCUCAAAGUUAUACUCCCAAAAGUAUAGUUUGAUAUGCUCUCAUAUGUGAUAUUGUACAAAAACCAACAUAUAUUUUGUUAAUCAUUAAAACAUAGUUUGAUAUGUUAUCUUCAUAAUCCAAAACAUAGUUUUAAUAUCUUAUUUUCAAACCAAAACAUAGUUUAAUAUGUUAUUUAUAAAUCCAAAGUAUACUUUUGAUAUACUACUGAAAACUUAUUUAUGUUACCAACUAAAGUAUGGUUAAUAUACUAUUUACUUAAUGACUGGUUUUUGGUUAGUGUUUAGAUAACGGGACGGGUGUAAUGUGAUGAAAACAUGGUAGAUACGCCGGUGGUACUUCUUAUAUAUAAGUGUUUUCAUCGCAUUACAUACCGUGGCGUUAUUUAGUACACUUGGGUUAAUGGUUUUGGAACUAAAAUAUAUUUUAAUAUAUAACUUAUUCAACUUUCUUAAAACCGAAGUAUAUUUUUAUAUAUACUAUAAAUCUUUUUAUCAAGAUGUUGUUUAUCAAACAAUAUAUUUUAUGCAAACUCAUUUUACUUAAUUAUUUAAUUACCUAUGUAUUAUUAUUUUGUAUCAUCUAAUUUCUUAUAAAUUUUGGUAUGAUUUUUAAAAGAAAACCUUUUUCAAGGAUCAUGACUACUUUUAUUAAAACCUUUUCUUUAAACUUAUAAAUCAUGAAUCCUACAUCAAUAAAACCUAUGUAUCUCACAGGCAUUUUUAUGCUGACGUACCUAUUUUUACACAUGUUUCAGGUACUGCUAUGUGAUGAUUGAUGAUAUAUGCUAGAUGGACUCGUGCCUUAGCGACUUUAAAACUUGAAAGAUAAUAGUUGUAUUAUUUGAUUGUAUUAAAACAAUGAGUUCAUUUAUUCAAUAACACA
rnacentral:lncRNA from 1 species